AAAAAAGAGACCUGAGUGGUUUUUGUUUAUCUUUUUUUUUUUUAGGCAGGGUCUUGCUCUGUAGCUCAGGCUGGAGUGCACUGGUGCAAUCUUGGCUCACUGCAGCCUCUGCCUCCCGGGUCCCGGUUCAAGCAAUUCUCUUGCCUCAGCCUCUUGAGUAGCUGGGAUUAUAGGAACGCACCACUAUGCCCAGCUAACUUUUGUAUUUUUAGUAGAGACAGGGUUUCACCAUGUUGGCCAGACUGGUCUUGAAUUAUUUACCUUUUACAAUAGUUCAGGACUGUGACAGGAGAUAUGGGGGAAAAUAUACCCUCAUCUUCCUAUUUUGUUCCAGACUGAUUGUCUGCCUGUUCUCCAUAAACUUCUUCCCUCUCCCCACUCCCAGUCACCCAGAUUGGGGAACUGACCUUUUGAAUUCGAUGGCAGGCAUAGCAAGCCCCAGUCAUUGUUGGUAAUAUUUCUAAAGCUUCUGAAGGUCACCUAGGAUUAAGAUAGGUGCCGCCUGCAUGCAAGUGGCAUGCUGCUACUUUAAUUAUGAAAGACACGAGAAAUAAAGGAAGCCCUUGGAAAGAAAAGAAGAAAAUCCCUGCCACAGCCCAACAGAAUAGAGAAGCGGCUGUCUGAAGAGGACAGAGAUUUGAGAUAAAGAUGCACAUCUAUUUC
rnacentral:lncRNA from 1 species